AACGCGAAGAACCUUACCAGGUCUUGACAUCCUUUGACCACGCCAGAAAUGGCGCUUUCCCUUCGGGGACAAAGUGACAGGUGGUGCAUGGUUGUCGUCAGCUCGUGUCGUGAGAUGUUGGGUUAAGUCCCGCAACGAGCGCAACCCUUAUUACUAGUUGCCAGCAUUCAGUUGGGCACUCUAGUGAGACUGCCGGUGACAAACCGGAGGAAGGUGGGGAUGACGUCAAAUCAUCAUGCCCCUUAUGACCUGGGCUACACACGUGCUACAAUGGCAAGUACAACGAGUCGCUAACCCGCGAGGGUACGCAAAUCUCUUAAAGCUUGUCUCAGUUCGGAUUGUAGGCUGCAACUCGCCUACAUGAAGUCGGAAUCGCUAGUAAUCGCGGAUCAGCACGCCGCGGUGAAUACGUUCCCGGGUCUUGUACACACCGA
rnacentral:rRNA from 1 species